AAUUUAAAAGUUUUGAAACAUUAACUUGUGGAGUUAAAAAUUCCUAAUCCUUACUUUU
rnacentral:tRNA from 1 species